UAUGCGUUUGUUUGGCUAAGUAAACAGAGCACAAACGAAGACAAAUCUGACUGACCUAAGGAUGUUACCAUGCAUCACCCCAGCCUCACGAGAUCAGCCAAGGAGCGCAUCUAUCCUAAGGAGCCAUUCCCAACUCAACAGGGGAGCAAAAAGCAGGCUUUCUUCCUCCCGACUUCAGAAAGAGGGCCUCCUCUGGUCCUUCACGCUGUCCCCAGCCAGGAGGCAUUUCUCUAACACAAGUGCCACUUCUUUUCUGAGUGGUUCACUCUUCACUUUUACCUGUGUGCAUACGGAUUGCGUUGAGACGGGGAGGAAGAGGACUGAUCACUUACACUGGCUUCAUAAAGACGUUGAGGUUGGCCGUGGGAGCCCAGUCCCAGCUCAGCGCCUGUCAGCUCUACAUACAGCUUGUGACUCUGAGCAGGUUGGAGUGACGCACUCAGGGAGCUGGAGUUUCUGCGGCUGUGCAGAGAGCAGUGGCCCUCCAGGGCAGACAAGGCUUCCUAGUUCAACAAAGCCCAAGCCAAGGGCGAACAGAUUCCUCCACACACAACUAUAACGCCACCAGAAAAACAGAUGCACCACUACAGGCAGGGACAGGCUUGGGGGAAACUCCAUUACCUGGGUCGGGAGAAAGAAUGACAGCCGGCUGACUCAAGUCACCAGGCCCGACGCCCCGCUGAGCCGCGGAUCAACACCCACCCGCAGAAAAAAAACACCCUUCCUCCGAGUAAAGUCACUUUUUCACUUGGAUCUGUUUUUCCUGGAUGUAACACUUGACAGGUUUAUAAACAGGCUUUUAGUUGUAAAAACAGAAUGCAGAAAUAUUAUCUAAUAAAAAAACAUUGAUCCUCCCCAAAGUAAACGGGGAGGAAUCCUAAUAAAACAUGUGUCGUUAUGCUGUUCAUUAACCAAUGAAUGAAUUAACUAAAAUUCUACUUCUCUAAAAUGUGUAUAAGAGGCCAAGAGAGUAAAAUAUUCAAUUAAUAGGUACUGAUCAUUGUCAAUUCAAAAGACAAGA